rnacentral:rRNA from 1 species
CGGGGAGGAGCCCAGGGCUUAAACAGCAGAGUUAAAUGACCGCCUGCGCGCGCUUUACGCCCAAUAAGUGCCGGACAACGUUGCCCCGUAGUAGUACCGCGGCUGCUGGAGGUAGUUAGCCGGGGCGUUCUUCUCUAUACCGUCACACACCAGGCAGUUACUCCUGAUGCUGUCUCGUGUAGGGCGACAGAGCUUUACGAUCCGAAAACCUUCAUCACUCACGCGGCGUUGCUUCCGUCAGUGCUUGCGUGCCAUUGCGGAGAUGAUUCCUCUACUGCUGCGCUCCCGUGAGGAGUGCUGGGCCGUGUCUCAGUCCCAGUGUGGCCGUUCACCCUCUCAGGUCGGCUACGCAUCGUCGCCUUGGUGGGCGCGUUACCUCACCAACUAGCUAAUGCGCCGCAGGCCCAUCUUCAAGCCACAGAUUGCUCCGUGUUUCAUGAUUCUCUCAUGCGAGAAACCAGCUAUCCGGUCUUAGCUAUCGUUUCCGAUAGUUAUCCCAUCUGAAGGCAGGUUGCCACGUGUUACUCACCCGUCCGCCGCUAGCCUAUCCCGAAGGAUAAACCCGCUCGACUUGCAUGUGU